GACGAACGCUGGCGGCGUGCUUAACACAUGCAAGUCGAACGGAAAGGCCCUGCUUGUGUGGGGUGCUCGAGUGGCGAACGGGUGAGUAACACGUGAGUAACCUGCCCUUGACUUUGGGAUAACGUCAGGAAACUGGGGCUAAUACCGGAUAGGAGCUCCUGCUGCAUGUUGGGGGUUGGAAAGUUUCGGCGGUUGGGGAUGGACUCGCGGCUGAUCAGCUUGUUGGUGGGGUAGUGGCUUACCAAGGCUUUGACGGGUAGACGGCCUGAGAGGGUGACCGGCCACAUUGGGACUGAGAUACGGCCCAGACUCCUACGGGAGGCAGCAGUGGGGAAUAUUGCACAAUGGGCGGAAGCCUGAUGCAGCAACGCCGCGUGCGGGAUGACGGCAUUCGAGUUGUAAACCGCUUUCGCCUGUGACGAAGCGUGAGUGACGGUAAUGGGUAAAGAAGCACCGGCUAACUACGUG
rnacentral:rRNA from 1 species